rnacentral:rRNA from 1 species
CGAUGAGUGCUAGGUGUUGGGGGGUUCCACCCUCAGUGCUGAAGUUAACACAUUAAGCACUCCGCCUGGGGAGUACGACCGCAAGGUUGAAACUCAAAGGAAUUGACGGGGGCCCGCACAAGCAGUGGAGCAUGUGGUUUAAUUCGAAGCAACGCGAAGAACCUUACCAGGUCUUGACAUCCUCUGACCACUCUAGAGAUAGAGCUUUCCCCUUCGGGGGACAGAGUGACAGGUGGUGCAUGGUUGUCGUCAGCUCGUGUCGUGAGAUGUUGGGUUAAGUCCCGCAACGAGCGCAACCCUUGACCUUAGUUGCCAGCAUUCAGUUGGGCACUCUAAGGUGACUGCCGGUGACAAACCGGAGGAAGGUGGGGAUGACGUCAAAUCAUCAUGCCCCUUAUGACCUGGGCUACACACGUGCUACAAUGGGUGGUACAAAGGGUUGCGAAGCCGCGAGGCCAAGCCAAUCCCAAAAAGCCACUCUCAGUUCGGAUUGUAGGCUGCAACUCGCCUACAUGAAGCCGGAAUUGCUAGUAAUCGCGGAUCAGCAUGCCGCGGUGAAUACGUUCCCGGGCCUUGUACACACCGCCCGUCACACCACGAGAGUUUGUAACACCCGAAGUCGG